AUUCAGAAAACUGGUUCUGGCAUCAGUGUUCUUUGUAGAAGGGGGCGUCAGAAAUUCCCAAGGUGUAAGCCGGGUGAAAUGCGUGUAGGAGAUUGGGAAGGAAUCCCGGUGGGGGGAAGGGCGGCCCCCCUUGGUACAAAGAUUGAUCUUUAUGGGUGCGAAAAGCGGUGGGGGACCAAACCAGGAAUAAAAUACCCUGGUAGUUUCCACCUGGUAAACAUGUUCAUUUUAGAGAGGUGGUGCCUUUAAGCCUUGCUUCCGGAAGCUAACGGGUAAAACGACCCGCCUGGGAAGUCGGCCCCCAGGGUUAAAACUCAAAGGAUUGGCGGGGGCCCGCCCCAGCGGUUGGGCCAGGUGGUUUAAUUCGAUGCAACGGGAAGACCUUAACUUCUUCUGGCCUUCAACAGAUCUUUUAGGGGAGGCCGAGGGCCUUUGGGGAAUUGGUAGCCAGGUCCUCCAUGGCGUUCUUCAGUUCUGGUUGGGAAAUGUUGGGUUAAUUCCCCCAAGGGGGCCACCCCUUUCCUUUUGUUCCCGCCGGUAAGGCCGGGAACUCAAAGGAGACUGCCGGUGAUAAACCGGAGGAAGGUGGGGAUGACGUCAAGUCAUCAUGGCCCUUACGACUAGGGCUACACACGUGCUACAAUGGCAUAUACAAAGAGAAGCGACCUCGCGAGAGCAAGCGGACCUCAUAAAGUAUGUCGUAGUCCGGAUUGGAGUCUGCAACUCGACUCCAUGAAGUCGGAAUCGCUAGUAAUCGUGGAUCAGAAUGCCACGGUGAAUACGUUCCCGGGCCUUGUACACACCGCCCGUCACACCAUGGGAGUGGGUUGCAAAAGAAGUAGGUAGCUUAACCUUGUGCGAAGACGCUUUACCAUAUUUGGAUUUCCAGGCCUUC
rnacentral:rRNA from 1 species